UUCAAUGUUUCUUGGGCAGGAAGAAGUGCACAACAACUGCAGAGCUUUGUUUUUAGAAAGAAGAUGUGGUCAAUUCUGAAUAAACAUUUUACCUGUAAUGUAACAUUACUCUUUUACGUUCCUCUCGUGGUAAAAUUCAAAAGAAAGCGGUUAUAUGCAGGAUGAACACAGAUUGGCAUAAAAGUCGCCAUUUUUGAAGAUCUCUCAGACUGGAUUGCUGCAGAGAUAAAGAGUUAAAGAUGAAGUGUCUCGUUCUUUUGCUACUGCUUGGUGCAGUCUUUUUAGCGUCUACGAACGCUCGGAGAUACGAAGAAGCCAAUGACGAGAAUGCAGACCUUGAACAAAAUGAGAACAAGGAGAUGGAUGAGUUAGAAAGCACUGCUCAGACAGAGAAAGAUCCAUUUUGGACCGCUUUACGUAAUCUCAGACAAGCCUCUGGAGAUCCAUUUCCUCAGCCAAAUGUGCAUCGUCGUUCCUAUGUCAGCCGUCGUCGUAGCUAUGUCCGCCGCCGCCGUUCCUAUGUCAGCCGUCGUCGUUCCAAUAUCCGCCGCAGCAGUUUCUAUAUCCGCCGUCGUCGUUUCAAUAUCCGUCGUCGUCGUUCCAAUAUCCGCCGCCGCCGUUCCAAUAUCCGCCGCCGUUCCAAUAUCCGCCGCCGCCGUUCCUAUGUCCGCCGCCGCCAUUUCUAUCUCCGCCGUCGUCGUUCAAUUGCCCGCCCACGUCAUCCCUUUUAUGGUUAAAUGUUCGUCCGCUAACACUUUGGACACGGUCACUUGACAUUUUCUCUUUUUUUGCUCUGUAACUACAGACAUGCUUUUAAAUGUCUUAUGUUUUUUUAUUUUGUAUGCUUGCUUUAUGAAUAUAUAUUAAUCUUGGAAA